rnacentral:rRNA from 1 species
AUUGAACGCUGGCGGCAGGCCUAACACAUGCAAGUCGAGCGGAUGAAGGGAGCUUGCUCCUGGUUUCAGCGGCGGACGGGUGAGUAAUGCCUAGGAAUCUGCCUGGUAGUGGGGGAUAACGUCCGGAAACGGGUGGUAAUACUGCAUACGUCCUGAGGGAGCAAGUGGGGGAUGUUCGGACCUCUCGCGAUCAGAGGAGCCUAGGCCGGAUUAGCUAGUUGGUGGGGUAAAGGCCUACCAAGGCGACGAUCCGUAACUGGUCUGUGUGGAGGAUCAGUCACAUGGGAAGUGGAACACGGACCAGACUCCUGCGGGACGCAGCAGUCUGGAAUGGUGGACAGCGGGCGAAAACCUUGUCCAACCGUGGGACGUGUGUGGAGAAGGUCUUCGGAUUGUAAAGCACUUUAAGUUGGGAGAAAGGGCAGUAAGUUAAUACCUUGCUGUUUUGACGUUACCAAGAGAAUAAGCACCGGCUAACUUCGUG